AUUGAACGCUGGCGGCAGGCUUAACACAUGCAAGUCGAACGAGUGGCGGACGGGUGAGUAAUGUUUGGGAAUCUAGCUUAUGGAGGGGGAUAACUACGGGAAACUGUCGCUAAUACCGCGUACCAUAGGAUGAGCCCAAGUGGGAUUAGGCAUUUCGGGGGGUAAAGGCUAACCAAGCCGACGAUCUCUAGCUGGUCUGAGGGGAUGACGGGCCAAACUGGAACUGAGACACGGCCCAGACUCCUACGGAGGGCAGAAGUGGGAAAUAUUGGGCAAUGGGGACAACCUAACGCAGCCAGGCCGGGUGAAUAAAGAAGGCCUUCGAGUUGUAAAGUUCUUUCGGUAGCGAGGCGUUAACUACAGAAGAAGCACCGGCUAACUCCGUGCAAGCAGCGGGGGUAAUC
rnacentral:rRNA from 1 species